CUCCCCAGCCCUCCCUUCCCACGCCCCAGUGCGCUGUGGGAUAGUGGCACUAUAAAGUAUAUCCUCUCUCGGAGAAAGAUAAGAAGCCCGAGACAGGAGGGGGAUGAAGAUGGCGGACGCCAAGCAAAAGAGGAAUGAGCAGUUAAAGCGAUGGCUGGGCUCGGAAACGGACCUGGAGCCUCCUAUUCUGAAAAAGAAGAAGACGAAGGUGAAGUUCGACGAUGGCGCCGUGUUUCUGGCCGCCUGCUCAAGCGGCGAUACCGAGGAGGUGCUGCGAAUGCUUGACCGGGGCGCUGACAUCAACUACGCCAAUGUAGACGGUCUCACCGCCCUCCACCAGGCAUGCAUAGAUGACAAUGUUGACAUGGUGACUUUCCUGGUGGAGCAUGGAGCCGGCAUCAACCAGCCCGACAACGAGGGCUGGAUCCCCCUCCACGCCGCAGCCUCCUGCGGAUACCUCGACAUAGCAGAGUAUCUCAUCAGCCAGGGUGCCAGUGUAGGAGUUGUGAACAGUGAAGGUGAGACGCCUCUGGACAUCGCUGAAGAGGAGGCAAUGGAGGAGCUCCUACAGAAUGAGAUCAACCGACAAGGGGUGGAUAUCGAGGCAGCCCGGAAAGAGGAGGAGCGGGUCAUGCUGAGGGACGCCCGGCAGUGGCUCAACAGCGGCCAAAUCCAAGACGUCCGGCAUGCCAAGUCCGGAGGAACGUCACUCCAUGUAGCUGCCGCGAAGGGAUAUGUUGAGGUUUUAAAGCUUUUAAUCCAGGCAGGGUAUGAUGUAAAUAUAAAGGACUAUGAUGGUUGGACUCCUCUACAUGCAGCAGCACACUGGGGCAAAGAGGAGGCAUGUAGGAUACUGGUGGAUAAUCUAUGUGACAUGGACCUCAUUAAUAAAAUGGGCCAGACAGCUUUUGAUGUAGCAGACGAAGAUGUUCUGGGAUACUUAGAAGAACUACAAAAGAAACAAAAUCUGCUGAUGAGUGACAAGAAAGAUGUUAAGAAAUCUCCUUUGAUUGAAACGACAACCACUGGGGACAACAACCAAUCACUAAAACCACUCAAGAGCAAAGAAACGCUGCUUCUAGAGCCAGAAAAGACUGUCCCACGCAUCGAGACCUUAGAACCAGAGAAGGUGGAUGAAGAAGAGGAGGGGAAGAAGGACGAAUCAAGCUGCUCCAGUGAGGAAGAGGAGGACGAGGAUUCAGAGUCGGAGACUGAAGCAGACAAGAGCAAACCCUCAGCAUCGGUGAGCAACAGCACGGCGCCCACCCCGUCCACCAUCACCGUGUCACCUCCAACAAGCCCAACUAACCAGGUGACAACCCCCACUUCACCGGUAAAGAAGGCCAUUCAGCCUGCUGGAAAGAUCUCGACUAAAGUGGAGGAGGAGAGGAAGGACGAGUCUCCAGCAUCGUGGCGGCUGGGUUUGAGGAAGACGGGCAGCUAUGGGGCACUAGCGGAGAUCACGGCCACCAAGGAGGCUCAGAGGGAGAAGGACACAACUGGUGUGAUGCGUUCAGCCUCGAGCCCUCGCCUCUCCUCUUCCCUGGACAACAAAGACAAAGAGAAGGAAAAGGAUAAAGGGACCCGGCUUGCCUAUGUGGCCCCCACCAUCCCCAGGAGACUGGCCAGUACUUCAGACAUUGACGAGAAGGAAAACAGGGACUCUACUGCUCUGAUACGUAGUGGCUCAUACACCCGGCGACGCUGGGACGACGACCUGAAGAACAGUGAAGGAAGCGCCUCCACCAACCGAACCCCCAGCUACCAGCGCAGCACGUCCCAUACGCUAGCACUAGGGCGGAGCGGCAGCACGCGGGACGUGCCAGCCAAGUCUUCGUCCACCUCCAGCUUGGACCCUAACACCUGUAAUACUAAACCCUGGCAGCCACCCACCUCCCACUACCAGUCUUACAGCAUAUACCGCAGCGGCUCUUUCAGCAGAAGGAACGAGGACUUGAGUUCCUCGACCACGUCCUCCUCCACGACCACCACCACCUCCUCAUCUGUUACCUCGCCCACAGGCCAUCGCGGCCUGCUCUCCAGCCUGGGCUCCUCCUCCACCCGCACUGGCUCCACCAGUCUCACCAGCAGGUACUGGUCAGAGGAGAGUGCAGAGAGGGAGAAGGAGAAGGAGAAGGAAUCUGCUGCGGUCAUCCCCACUAUAAACACUGGCUCUACUACGACCACCACAUCUACCACUACCACCACCGGCAUAUCUACCACUACCACCACCACUGGCACUGUCACUGGCUCUGAAAGACGCAGGUCAUACCUGACGCCAGUGCGAGACGAGGAGUCAGAGUCCCAAAGGAAAGCUCGCUCCAGGCAGGCUCGACAGUCAAGGAGGUCCACUCAGGGCGUGACUCUGACUGACCUGCAAGAAGCUGAGAAAACAAUCGGCAGGAGUCGUCCCACAAAGACCCGGGAGGAGGAGAAGGAGGAGAAGGAAAAGCAGGACAAGGAGAAGCAGGAAGAGAAGAAGGAGUUGGAGACCAAGGAAGACGAUUACCGAUCGAAGUACCGGAGCUUCGAAGAGCGCUACCGGCCUUCGUCUUCUUCCUCCACCUCCGCCAUUUUGACAGCCAGUACUGCCUCCACCCCGUCCUACUCUAGCACCAUUUUGUCCUCCAGUUCCAGCUCCCUCAACAGGCCUAACAGUCUGACGGGGAUCACCUCAUCCUAUAGCCGUUCCUCCAGAGAUACGGAAAAAGAAAUAGAUAGAAAGGAUGAGGAGAAGGAGGGAGAGGACAAAUCUCAGCCCCGCUCCAUACGGGAUCGCAGGCGGCCCCGCGAGAAGAGGCGCUCCACUGGGGUCUCCUUCUGGACUCAAGAUGGUGAUGAAAAUGACCCUGACCAGCAGUCUGACUCGGAGGAGGGCAGCAUCAAGGGAGAGCCACAGAGUGACAGGUUGUCCAGGAAUGAGAUCACUUCAUCCUCGGAUCGCAAUGACUCUUAUUCUAGCCGUGGCUACGGUGAGAGUCGGAGGCCAUACUCAAGCCGACUAGAUAGAGACGACACCACUGACUACAAGAAGCUCUACGAGCAGAUCUUAGCUGAGAACGAGAAGUUGAAGGCCCAGUUACGUGACACAGACCUGGAGCUGGCAGACUUGAAGCUACAACUAGAGAAGGCCACACAGAGGCAGGAACGCUAUGCCGACCGAUCACAGCUUGAGAUGGAGAAAAGGGUAACAAGCAGGCCCCAAUAUCAUCUGGGUGGUGGUAUGAUCUUAACCUGAGUUUUUGUAUCAGUCUACUCUCUGCUGCUGGCUGUCGUGUCACACAUGCCCUUGUAGCCGGGGUCAAAAGGGACUUCCUCCCUCUCCUCGCCACCCAGAACACUGCCACCUUCUCUCUCACCUGUUUUUGAACCUCAGAGCCAGCGUGUGGUCACCUCUUCUUAAGACUGCUUAUUUUGUUAUUUGUGUGUGUGUGUGUGUGUGUGUGUGUGUGUGAUGCAGGAAGUAGAACAAUUGUAGACUGUUCAAUUGCUAUUGAAAGAACCUGUGCAUGUGUGUGUUUUCAUGGUUUGUCUCACUCAUUCCGUAAUCAUGCUGGCGUCUUCAGCUGCGUAGCCAUGAAACCAAUAACUCCAUCGAUUUGCUAAAUUCAUCCAUUAUUUGUAAGCCACGUUUAAGACCCUCCUUCGUGUGCCGUUUGUCGUCCCAGCCUUUUUAUAAUCCAAGUGUCCUUUUUUGGUGUUGAAAAAAGACAUUCUGACCCCCCCCGUCCAUGAGUCAUUUCAUUAACUUACCAUCCAACACAACCUCUAUAAACAUCUACCUCCCCAUUUCUUGACUCAUUCCUGCCUUUUAAAUUACAUAUAAAUCACUGAAUAUGUAAGUCUGAACCGGCUGUUGCUUGCAGACGCCUCACAAGACAUGCGUGUGUUCAAAGUGUGUGUGUGCGUGUGUGCUAUCGCUACACCCUCACCGUCUUCCACACCUUAUUUUAUGCAGUGUGUUUUUAACACGUGUUUGCUGCUCAUUGUCUCGACGUCUCGUGUCCUGAGUUAACCCCGCUGUCCUCCGCCCCACAGGAAAGAAGAGCUCUAGAAAGGAAGAUUUCUGAGAUGGAGGAGGAACUUAAGAUGCUCCCAGACUUGAAAGCAGACAACCAGAGACUAAAGGACGAGAACGGAGCACUCAUUCGAGUCAUUAGCAAGCUUUCCAAGUAGAACAGACCCCCC